AGCUUGUGACUUCAAUCAUAUCUUGAGCAAUCUGCAUCUUUUAUCCGCUUCUGCACUUAGAGUUCAACUUCUUUUCUUGUUUUUCUUUUCUUUUAUUUGGAUUGAGACUUCUUCUUUUGGUCAUCUCAAACCUCGUGCCUCAUGGUAAAAAAUAUGUUCAGACACCAAAACAAACAAACGAAGAAAAUGUUUCUGCCCUAGUUUUCACUAGAAAAAUUUCAUGAAAGCAAUAAAAUCAGGAUUGUGUAUCCUUGAGGAAAAGAGAUUAAGGAGUGAAAACUCUAUGUCUAAAAUGAAACCAAAUGGGGAUCGGAAGCCCUAAGUUUGAAAGAUUGUCAGGUUAUGCUGGAAAAAUGAACGGGUUAUGCCAGAAAGGUCCUCGGGUUAUGCCGGAAAAGGUCCUCGGGUUAUGCCAGGGAUGUCCACGGAUUAUGUCGGGAAAAUCAUCGGGUUAUGUCGGAAAAGAAAAAGGUCCUCGGGUUAUGCCGGGAAAGUCAUCGGAUUAUGCCGGAAAAAGGCUCUCGGGUUAUUCCGGAGAGGUCCACGGGUUAUGCUGGGAAAGUCAUCGCGUUAUGCCGGAAAAGAAAAAGGUCCUCGGGUUAUGCCGGUGAGGUCCACGGGUUAUGCCGGGAAAUUCAUCGGAUUAUGCCGGAAAAGAAAAAGGUCAUCAGGUUAUGUCGGGGAGGUCCACGGGUUAUGCCA
rnacentral:lncRNA from 1 species